CCUACGGGCGGCAGCAGUGAGGAAUAUUGGUCAAUGGACGAGAGUCUGAACCAGCCAAGUAGCGUGAAGGAUGACUGCCCUAUGGGUUGUAAACUUCUUUUAUAUGGGAAUAAAAUGUUCCACGUGUGGGAUUUUGUAUGUACCAUAUGAAUAAGGAUCGGCUAACUCCGUGCCAGCAGCGGCGGUAAUACGGAGGAUCCUAGCGUUAUCCGGAUUUAUUGGGUUUAAAGGGAGCGUAGGUGGAUUGUUAAGUCAGUGGUGAAAGUUUGCGGCUAAACCGUAAAUUGCAGUUGAAACUGGCAGUCUUGAGUACAGUAGAGGUGGGCGGAAUUCGUGGUGUAGCGGUGAAAUGCUUAGAUAUCACGAAGAACUCCGAUUGCGAAGGCAGUUCACUGGACUGCAACUGACACUGAGGCUCGAAAGUGUGGGUAUCAAACAGGAUUAGAUACCCCAGUAGUC
rnacentral:rRNA from 1 species